rnacentral:rRNA from 1 species
AGCGAACGCUGGCGGCAGGCUUAACACAUGCAAGUCGAGCGGGUGUAGCAAUACAUCAGCGGCAGACGGGUGAGUAACGCGUGGGAACGUACCUUUUGGUUCGGAACAACACAGGGAAACUUGUGCUAAUACCGGAUAAGCCCUUACGGGGAAAGAUUUAUCGCCGAAAGAUCGGCCCGCGUCUGAUUAGCUAGUUGGUAGGGUAACGGCCUACCAAGGCGACGAUCAGUAGCUGGUCUGAGAGGAUGAUCUGCCACAUUGGGACUGAGACACGGCCCAAACUCCUACGGGAGGCAGCAGUGGGGAAUAUUGGACAAUGGGGGCAACCCUGAUCCAGCCAUGCCGCGUGAGUGAUGAAGGUCCUAGGGUUGUAAAGCUCUUUUGUGCGGGAAGAUAAUGACGGUACCGCAAGAAUAAGCCCCGGCUAACUUCGUGCCAGCCGCCGCCGUAACAC